rnacentral:rRNA from 1 species
GACGAACGCUGGCGGCGUGCCUAAUACAUGCAAGUAGAACGCUGAAGAGAGGAGCUUGCUCUUCUUGGAUGAGUUGCGCACGGGUGAGUAACGCGUAGGUAACCUGCCUUGUAGCGGGGGAUAACUAUUGGAAACGAUAGCUAAUACCGCAUAACAAUGGAUGACACAUGUCCUUUAUUUGAAAGGGGCAAUUGCUCCACUACAAGAUGGACCUGCGUUGUAUUAGCUAGUAGGUGAGGUAAUGGCUCACCUAGGCGACGAUACAUAGCCGACCUGAGAGGGUGAUCGGCCACACUGGGACUGAGACAAGGCCCAGACUCCUACGGGAGGCAGCAGUAGGGAAUCUUCGGCAAUGGGGGCAACCCUGACCGAGCAACGCCGCGUGAGUGAAGAAGGUUUUCGGAUCGUAAAGCUCUGUUGUAAGUCAAGAACGGGUGUGAGAGUGGAAAGUUCACACUGUGACGGUAGCUGACCAGAAAGGGACGGCUAACUACGUG